rnacentral:rRNA from 1 species
AGAGAUGUGUGAUGACGCAUAUCAAUAAGCGGAGGAAAAGAAACUAACAAGGAUUCCCUUAGUAACGGCGAGUGAAGCGGGAAGAGCUCAAAUUUGAAAUCUUCAAGGUUCUACCUUGACGAAUUGUAGUUUAAAGAAGUGUUUUCUGUUAGUGGAGUGGCAAAAGUUCUUUGGAAUAGGACAUCAUAGAGGGUGAGAAUCCCGUAUUUGGUCAUUCCUUCUAGCUUUGUGAUACACUUUCAAAGAGUCGGAUUGUUUGGGAAUGCAGUCCAAAAUGGGUGGUAAAUUUCAUCUAAAGCUAAAUAUUGGCGAGAGACCGAUAGCGAACAAGUACCGUGAGGGAAAGAUGAAAAGAACUUUGAAAAGAGAGUUAAACAGUACGUGAAAUUGUCAAAAGGGAAGCGUUUGACACCAGUGUUGUUUUUCCGAAAAUCAAUUACGAAUGUUUUAUUUUUGAGGAGUUAUGACUUCAUCGGCUUGCUCCUUUCUUUAUGAAACUUUCUUAAUGCACUUUUCGGUUAACAAGUCAACAUCAAUUUCUUUUGUUGUAAAAGGGUAUGAGGAAGGUGGCUUUCUUUUCGGAGAAAGUGUUUAUAGCCUUGUACCUCCGCAAUCGGAGAGAUUGAGGUCUGCAGCGUAGAUCCUUCGGGGUUAGAUACAUUUGUGCUAAGUUAUAGCUUUUCAUAGACAACUUGUUGACUAUGUUAAGUCUUGUAGCUUACUCGCUUAUGCUAUUUUACCUACGCUUAGGAUGUUGACGAUCAGCUGAGCGCG